rnacentral:lncRNA from 1 species
AAAUUCUUUCUGUGGUAGCAGGACAUCCGCCAGCAAAUGAGUUUGUUGAAAGGGCCACUGGUACCAAAUUCAGCACCGUGGGCCAACCCUGACCACAGCAGAGUGGUGUGAAGAGGUCUGACAGCCGCGUGGUCACCACCCAGGCUGGAGAGGAAGGCAGCAUGAGGUGUUAAUGGAAAAAUCCAACUUCCUUCUCUUCCAAAGAUGAUGAGCAAAACCAAAAUGGAGAUUUCCCUGAAUUAAUCCUCUUCCUUCUCAACUGCCUGCCAUUUACAUCAAGGAUGAAGUCGGGAGCUGGGGACACAAGGGAAUCGAUAUUCGAUGCCUGGAAAGAAGUUCUUCUAAGUUUAUCUACACAGUAAAGGGCUGAGGAAAAGCCUGUGGAGGAGGAGAAGGAGGAAGAAAGUCCCUGUGGGGGAGCGGAGGAAGAAGAGUACUGUCUUGGGAAUUAUGGCUGAAAGAGGUAGAGGAGAAUCUGAAUUGGCCGAAUGAGUGAAGGAAAUAAAGUGGAGGGACAGAUUUCA